AUGGUGCUAAAGACGAGUCUGGAUCAACCACCACGGAUGGAGGUGGCCGCCGAGCUGUGUAGGCCACUGUGCUCAACUUUUCAUAGCAUGCACAUGGUGGACAAUGGCGGGGAGCUAAUGUUGGUGCACCGCAUGCUCCGGAGUAGCCCCAGGAGGUUCGACUACGACCUGUAUCGACUGGAUUUGGAGAUGGGGAAAUUUUUCCCGGCAAACAGCUUCAAUGGACGUGCACUGUUUAUGGCUAGACAUUGCUCUCUUUCGGUGUCCACAAAAGUUUUUCCCUCCAUCAGUUCUGACACUAUCUACAUGAGCUUCGAUUUGGAUGAGAGAGCCGCUGGUACUACACCAGAGGACAACCUCAUGGUGCUGGAGACGAGGGCAGAUCGGCGACCACGGAUGAAGGUGGCUGCCAAGUUGCGGAGGCACGUUUGCAGGACGGCGGGUACCGCGCACCUCGUGGACAACGGUGGAGAGUUAAUGGUGGUGCACCGUAUGCUUUCUCGUUCAGAUAACUCAAGGUACAAAGUGUAUCAACUGGAUUUCGAUAACAAGAGACUACUCCGGGUCAAGACCUUGAGCAAGCGGGCGCUGUUCUUGGCGAUGCAUUACUCUUUCUCGGUGUCCAUGAGGGUUUUCCCCUCCAUUUGUGGUGACACUAUCUAUUUUAGCUUUGAUCUUCAGGAGAGAUUUGAUGAGCACAUUGAGGCCUACUGUCUCACCGACAAAAGCAACAAGCUGGCAAACUACAUCUUAAACAGCACUUUGUGCAGAGUCGUGCCAUCGCCGCAUAGUGUCGCUGACUGUCUCUCCUGCAAUACUUUCAUAACUUCAGGAUUGUAUUCCAAUUGGUUGGCAUCAAUAAUAACUUCAGCUACAAAGCUUUCUGGUGAUGUUCGUUCAGUGGAAGAGGACGUUUUCAUUGACUACGAGGCAUCUGUUAUGACUUCAUCAAUCUCAAGAUUUGCUGGCUUGGUCUAUCGAAGGUGUUCACAAGGAUAG
rnacentral:rRNA from 1 species